GAAAACUCAUUUUGUUGGCAAAUACCGUAUAAUCUCAUCCAAAAAUCAAAUCCAACAAAAAUUAUUAAUUAUUUAUUGAGUGAGAGACAAUCAACGUUCCAGCUAAGUGGAUCUAUCGACCAAUGGGUUAAGUUAAAUGUUGGCAAUAGCGGGUUUUACAGAGUAAAAUAUGUUGGUUCUCUGAAAGAUAUGCUUAUUGACGGAGUGCAAGAUGUAAAGUCCGACGGUACAAGUGUUUUAAACAUUCGCGACAAAGUCGGACUGUUGAAUGAUUUUCUUUCCCUCGCGUCUAUUGGAGAGAUGACGUUUGUCGACUGUUUAAGAUUGUCUUGGAAUCUUCGAAAUGAGGUGAACUAUGCGAUUUGGGAUUCUAUUUUCAAUUUAUUCUCUGCUAUCGACAAUAUUUUUGUCUCAACUGAUUCAUAUCCCGCUUUUGUACAGUUGGUUAACCGAUUUGUGAGUAUUCCGUAUGAGAAAGUUGGUUGGACUGUUGUUGAAG